AUUUGCAGUAGAAGAAGGAUUAUUAAUUUUGUUAGUAUCGUUGAAAUCGAAGUUCAUAUCCAGAUAUCUAUCAGGCUGCAAGAUCAUAGAGACUUUAAUGGAAUGGUACAUUUCUUUCAAAGCAGACAUCCAAUAACUUGAAAAAGCUUCCUCAAGUACUUUCGAGCUCAAGCUACGUUUAUGAAGCUUCUUUAAUUCCGCACUUUUUCCCGGAGAUAAGUUGCCAUGUAGGGAAUGGAUGGCUGGCGAGUUACAGGAUUCAUUGGAUGCAAAUGAUUUGU